UACGUAGGGUGCGAGCGUUGUCCGGAAUUACUGGGCGUAAAGAGCUCGUAGGUGGUUUGUCGCGUUGUUCGUGAAAACUCACAGCUUAACUGUGGGCGUGCGGGCGAUACGGGCAGACUGGAGUACUGCAGGGGAGACUGGAAUUCCUGGUGUAGCGGUGGAAUGCGUAGAUAUCGGGAGGAACACCAGUGGCGAAGGCGGUUGCCUGGAGCUUUGCUGACGCUGAGGCGCGAAAGCGUGGGGAGCGAUCCGG
rnacentral:rRNA from 1 species